rnacentral:rRNA from 1 species
GAUGAACGCUGGCGGCGUGCCUAAUACAUGCAAGUCGAGCGAACAGACGAGGAGCUUGCUCCUCUGACGUUAGCGGCGGACGGGUGAGUAACACGUGGAUAACCUACCUAUAAGACUGGGAUAACUUCGGGAAACCGGAGCUAAUACCGGAUAAUAUAUUGAACCGCAUGGUUCAAUAGUGAAAGACGGUUUUGCUGUCACUUAUAGAUGGAUCCGCGCCGCAUUAGCUAGUUGGUAAGGUAACAGCUUACCAAGGCAACGAUGGCUAGCCGACCUGAGAGGGUGAUCGGCCACACUGGAACUGAGACACGGUCCAGACUCCUACGGGAGGCAGCAGUAGGGAAUCUUCCGCAAUGGGCGAAAGCCUGACGGAGCAACGCCGCGUGAGUGAUGAAGGUCUUCGGAUCGUAAAACUCUGUUAUUAGGGAAGAACAAAUGUGUAAGUAACUAUGCACGUCUUGACGGUACCUAAUCAGAAAGCCACGGCUAACUACGUG